CAGGAACAUAAAACAAACAUUUCAUCGGGACAUCAAUAGGGGAACAGGAACAGAACAUCACCACACAAGGCCGGCCAUCAGCUACGCAAUUCAUUUGUACUGCGUCGUACAACCUAUACAAAGUAACCGAUUUUCACCGUAAAAAUCCAAUGCCUUGGGGUGAAAUCCUCCACGAGUACUCUCAACAGGUUACAACCCUUCACACAACUUUAAAUAGCGACAAUGCAACACUUAUUACCGGCAAAGUAAUGGUUUUUGAUGAGCCCCACAUUGCUGGCUAACACAUCAGCGAAAGGGUACCGUGGGACUGAACUUUUCUUCGGCGGGGUACCUAACCUUCACCGAUUUUUCUGCGUACUUCUAAGCGAAAUUCGCCCUUAAUGAUGCAACUCUGCAAGUUUGGGACGAGUCCAAUAAUUUUUUCAAGGGGAAAUGAGUACUUUCCCAACAUUGCGUAAUAUUUUGUAAUACUCAGAAGCAGGGGCGGUUCAGAAUUUUUAUGGUAAAUUACUUCAUAAAAUAAAUUGGAAAAAUAGAUAUUUUUCUUGAGGUAGGAUAUAAAAUUUAUGGUUGGAGUUUUUUCAAACGCUACAAGGUAACCGUGAAACGGAGGAUAGCUCUUUCUAUUCUCAACAUUAAUAUCACAAGAGAGUGAGAAUAAAUUGACAAUAAUGCGACAAUUUUUCGAGAAAAGUUGUUUUCUGGCUAUAGACUAUUGCCGAUUGGAAACAAGCAGAAAGAAAAUUGGAGCAUUAUUUUCUUAUUUAUUCUUACUAUCGUGUGAUAUUCGACAGAUUAUUUUUUAAUACUUACAUAUGAAAUUCAAGUCUUGAAUGAAAACAUUCAGUAACAUUGAUCCCAAUUAAUGGACACACAUUUUUCAACUUGUCAAAGUGAACAGCACAAUUUAGCAAAUAUUUAGACGAAGAUAUUAAUAAAAUAUUAGUUAAAAUAUUUAUAAAUGCAGUUUUAUUCAUGAAAUAAUCUUACCGAAGUAAACUCGAACGCUACAAAUCGCCGAUUUGUGUUCUUCUUGUGACAAUUUGACAGUAGGUGCCGAACUAAAAGUUUAUUAUGGAUAUUUUUUUAAAUGUGACAGUUGUCAAAACUAAGAAACUGGUUGAAAUUAAACAGAAGCUAUUACUUAAAAUUAUUCCCACUGUAAUAAUGUACAGUAGAAAAUAACCGCUGUAAUUUAUAUUGAAAAAAAAAGACACUGAAAAAAAAAA
rnacentral:lncRNA from 1 species